ACCAGACUCCUACGGGAGGCAGCAGUGGGGAAUAUUGCACAAUGGGGGAAACCCUGAUGCAGCGACGCCGCGUGAGCGAUGAAGUAUUUCGGUAUGUAAAGCUCUCUCAGCAGGGAAGAAAAUGACGGUACCUGACUAAGAAGCCCCGGCUAACUACGUGCCGGCAGCCGCGGUAAUACGUAGGAUCCGAGCAUUAUCCGGAGUGACUGGGUGUAAAGAGUUGCGUAGGUGGCAUAAUAAGUAGCUAGUGAAAUCUGGUGGCUCAACCAUUCAGACUAUUAGCUAAACUGUUAAGCUCGAGACCGUUAGGGGUAACUGGAAUUUCUAGUGUAGGGUUGAAAUCCGUAGAUAUUAGAAGGAACACCAAUAGCGUAGGCAGGUUACUGGGACGGUUCUGACACUAAGGCACGAAAGCGUAGGGAGCAAACGGGAUUAGAUACCCGCGUAAC
rnacentral:rRNA from 1 species